rnacentral:lncRNA from 1 species
AUGCCGCGUCCACGCAUCACGCAAGCAUCCCCGGCUUGGGGAACACGGAAUUUCGGACCCACGGGAGGGAGGACGUUUGGGAGCCUCCUAGGCCUCAUUUCCCCGACGCACUGGGCGUCCGGCCGGUGGCACCUUCGUCCCCGCGCCCUGCACAGCCGUGGCCGCGCCCCGGGCGCCCCGACGCCAGCCCCUGACCCGCCUCCGUUUCCCCGAAAAGAGCCUUGGGGCUGGAGCCGCGGUCGCGCCGGGGGUGCCCUCCGCGCCCCUGCAGCCCCGAGCAAACGGCCGCGCCCCGAGGGCCGCCCGCGCGGGAACCCGCGGGGGGAGGGAGGGGAGGGGAGGGGAGGGGAAGGGAGGGGAGGGGAGAGGGGUGGGGGGGGGGAGAAGAUGGGGGGGGGGGGGGGAGGGAGGGGGGGGGAGGAGAGGGAGGGGGGGGGGGGGGGGGGGGGGGGGGGGGGGGGGGGGGGGGGGGGGAGGGGGGGAGGGGGGGGGGGGGGGGGGGGGGGGAGGGGGGGGGGGGGGGGGGGGGGAGGGGGGGGGGGGGGAGGGGGGGGGGAGGGGGGGGGGGGGGGGGGGGGGGGGGGGGGGGGGGGGGGGGGGGGGAGGAGGGGGAGGGGGGGAGAGGGAGGAGGGGGGGGGGGGGGGGGGAGGGGGGGGGAUGGGAGGGGGGGGGGGGGGAGGGGGGGGGAAGGGGGGGGAGGGGGGGGGGGGGGGGGGUGGGAGGGAGGGGGGGGGGGGGGGGUGGGGGGGGGGGGGAGGGGGAGGCCGGGCCUUCUGCCCAUUGGACCCGCUCCACGACCUGUUUCAGUUCCGAUGAGAGGCGGGGAACGUCUUCCAAGAUGGCAAUCGCUCGACCUGGAGCACAUCCUGACUAUUUUUACGAUCGUAUUUACUUAUCCUGAGACACACAGAGAGGCGGAGCCCCGGGCCGCGGGAGCCGCCCCCUGCAGGGAGCCGACGGGGAGGGGGCUCGGUCGGGGCCGGGGUCGCGGCCGGGCCGGGGCGGACGCUCCCCGCCGAGUCGGUCACCCGGGCGUCCUAGGAAACGUUUUUGAGACCUGGUUUUCAGGGUCUGAGUUCCUGAGCGCCCCAGGGCUGGAGAGCUGUGUCUCACCUGAGGCGCCCCGAGGUUGCCAGGCCCAGGCGCACUAUUUGUUUCCUUCGCUGUCGCCAAGGGAGGCCUGGGUCAAAAGUUGGGGCAGGGCAGGGCAGGGCAGGGCAGGGGGGCAUCCAAGGACCCAGGUGAACGGAUGUGCAGCCGUGGACAGCUCCAGCCUGACGCCUUAG